rnacentral:rRNA from 1 species
AGCAGCCGCGGUAAUUCCAGCUCCAAUAGCGUAUAUUAAAGUUGUUGCAGUUAAAAAGCUCGUAGUUGAAUUUCGGGAUCAAUUUAUUGGUCGUGCCUAUGGUAUGAACUGGUACAAUUGGUUUCUCCCUUCUGACGAAGCAUGAUGUCAUUAAUUUGGUGUCGUGGGGAAUCAGGACUGUUACUUUGAAAAAAUUAGAGUGUUUAAAGCAAGCAUUAGCUUGAAUACAUUAGCAUGGAAUAAUGAAAUAGGACGUUUGAUCCUAUUUCGUUGGUUUCUAGGAUCGACGUAAUGAUUAAUAGGGAUAGUUGGGGGCAUUAGUAUUCAAUUGUCAGAGGUGAAAUUCUUGGAUUUAUUGAAGACUAACUACUGCGAAAGCAUUUGCCAAGGAUGUUUUCAUUAAUCAAGAACGAAAGUUAGGGGAUCGAAGACGAUCAGAUACCGUCGUAGUCUUAACCAUAAACUAUGCCGACUAGGGAUCGGAUGAUGUUAAUUUUUUAAUGACUCA